rnacentral:rRNA from 1 species
CGGAACACGUACGCAAUCUACCCAAAACUGAUGAAUAGCCCUCCGAAAGGAGGAUUAAUACAUCGUAACAUAAUGAAGUGGCAUCACUUUAUUAUUAUAGCUCCGGCGGUUUUGGAUGAGCGUGCGCCUGAUUAGGUAGUUGGCGGGGUAACGGCCCACCAAGCCUACGAUCAGUAACUGGUGUGAGAGCACGACCAGUCACACGGGCACUGAGACACGGGCCCG